GACGAACGCUGGCGGCGUGCCUAAUACAUGCAAGUCGAACGCAAAACUUUCACCGAAUGCUUGCAUUCACGAAAGUUUUGAGUGGCGAACGGGUGAGUAACACGUGGGUAACCUGCCCAGAAGAGGGGGAUAACACUUGGAAACAGGUGCUAAUACCGCAUAAUAACAAAAACCGCAUGGUUUUUGUUUGAAAGAUGGUUUUGCUAUCACUUCUGGAUGGACCCGCGGCGUAUUAGCUAGUUGGUAAGGUAAAGUCUUACCAAGGCAAUGAUACGGAGCCGAACUGAGAGGUUGAUCGGCCACAUAGGGACUGAGACACGGCCCAAACUCCUACGGGAGGCAGCAGUAGGGAAUCUUCCACAAUGGACGAAAGUCUGAUGGAGCAACGCCGCGUGAGUGAAGAAGGUUUUCGGAUCGUAAAACUCUGUUGUUAGAGAAGAACGUGUGUGAGAGUAACUGCUCAUGCAGUGACGGUAUCUAACCAGAAAGCCACGGCUAACUACGUGCCAGCCGCCGCCGUAA
rnacentral:rRNA from 1 species